GAGGCAGCAGGUAGGGAAUCUUCGGCAAUGGACGAAAGUCUGACCGAGCAACGCCGCGUGAGUGAAGAAGGUUUUCGGAUCGUAAAACUCUGUUGGUAGAGAAGAACGUUGGUGAGAGUGGAAAGCUCAUCAAGUGACGGUAACUACCCAGAAAGGGACGGCUAACUACGUGCCAGCAGCCGCGGUAAUACGUAGGUCCCGAGCGUUGUCCGGAUUUAUUGGGCGUAAAGCGAGCGCAGGUGGUUUAUUAAGUCUGGUGUAAAAGGCAGUGGCUCAACCAUUGUAUGCAUUGGAAACUGGUAGACUUGAGUGCAGGAGAGGAGAGUGGAAUUCCAUGUGUAGCGGUGAAAUGCGUAGAUAUAUGGAGGAACACCGGUGGCGAAAGCGGCUCUCUGGCCUGUAACUGACACUGAGGCUCGAAAGCGUGGGGAGCAAACAGGAUUAGAUACCCUGGUAGUCCACGCCGUAAACGAUGAGUGCUAGAUGUAGGGAGCUAUAAGUUCUCUGUAUCGCAGCUAACGCAAUAAGCACUCCGCCUGGGGA
rnacentral:rRNA from 1 species